rnacentral:rRNA from 1 species
UACGUAGGGAGCAAGCGUUGUCCGGAAUCAUUGGGCGUAAAGCGCACGUAGGCGGCUUCUUAAGUCGGUGGUGAAAUCCUGGAGCUCAACUCCAGAACUGCCUUCGAUACUGGGAAGCUCGAGUCCGGGAGAGGUGAGUGGAACUGCGAGUGUAGAGGUGAAAUUCGUAGAUAUUCGCAAGAACACCAGUGGCGAAGGCGGCUCACUGGCCCGGUACUGACGCUGAGGUGCGAAAGCGUGGGGAGCAAACAGG